UUUUUUCUUCUUCUUCUUCCAAAUUAUAUAUAAGAGAUUCGAAUUAGUACUAAACAUUCAAAUUUGUAAUCUAAUGUUUAAUGUAAAGUGCUUACCAAAGAUUCUAAAUACCACACAAUUUAUCAUAUAAUGGAUUUCAAGAUUUAGAGAAAUACACGAAUCCAAAAGAGUCAAGAUGUAAAUUACUAAAGAAUAUUGUAAAUAUGAAAAGUUUAGAUGUACUUAAAUGUAAGUGCAAAAUCUCUAGUAGAUAGCUUUUUCUGAUAUGUAUCCAAUCAUUAGUAAUAGUUUAAUUUGUUUAUGGUAUAUCAGAGCUAAAAACAUUUAAUCAACCUAUAUAUGUAUGUACGUACGUACUUCUUUCUUUUGGCCAUCGAUCAAACCAAGUACGUAUGUUAAUCUUUAAAUCCAAUCACCAGUUGAGAUUCUCAGACCGAUGAGACUGACUAUAUCAAUCAAGAUGAUCCGAAGAAUAUAUAAAAUUUCCAGCCAUUGCUCAUUGACGCUAACAUAGUAAAAAAUGGGGUUUUGUCAAAUUCAUGUUCUUUUGUGGUUAUGAACUAUAUAUAUAGCCGAAAACAUUGAUGCAUCAACAACUUCAACAACCAC
rnacentral:lncRNA from 1 species